AUACACGAUAUGGCUGAGCAAAUGAGGAUAAUGAACGAGAAUAAUGGCCAACUAAUGCAACUCUCGCGUGCUGCCAACCCCCCACUUCCAGCAGUACCACCCGUCCCUGAUAUCGAGUGAUCUCGCCACUCGAAUCGUUCAGAAGAUCGUUCUCGAAAUAUCAGUGCCGAUCAAGUAGGGCGGGUGAGACUCCAAGCACCAAGCUCGUCCUUACGUGCAAAUGUUCCUCAAAAUCUAGUAACACUUUCGCCAACAUAUGAGAAGGGGGAUGAGUCCUCAUAUAGACGAUCGAUCAGGGCACGAACAAAUUCCACCUCGUAAAAGGUUCGAGACUUGGAACGCACGGCGCGAUGCCAUCAACAACUGAGUAGGUGCCCAUAACUUUGGACACACUGAUUUAACAGACAGAACCAACCGUCGUUCACCGGAGAGGAUAUUGGGGGCUCGGAUUUCAUCAAAGUUCAAGCUCCCCCCGCCCAGCUCGUAUUUAUGAAGGAAAAACAGAUCCAUGGACCACUUCUAAGACUCGUACAAGAGGCCUAAUGUCGCUCCAGAGUUUUCUCGGACUAGAUUAGGCAAAGCGUUCUCCGCCACUUUUGAAGGGACCCCGUCAGGUCAUGGUUUCGAAAACUUCGCCAGGGAACCAUUGAUUCUUUUGGUGACUCAGUCGACUCUUCUUCGUCGCCAAUUUCAUGAGCUGUCGAAAUCGCCACAAGAAAUGCUUCUCACCUUUUCACCUUCAUGCAAAAGAGACUGAAAGGCUGAAAGAUUUCGUGAAACAUUCAUCAGGCUAUUUUAGAAGUCGAGGAUCCCAGCGACAAGUAAUAUCUGGCAAUGAUGGAAUGGACUCCGCCUUUCCACUUUUAGCUCCUUUCCAAAACGUUCCCAAACUUUAUCCACACUCCGAGCAAGCGACAAGUACAUUCGCAGCAGAGGAAUUAGCCGGGCUAAACGAAGGUGACUAGGAAAAGAUGACCAUAAGAGGAAAGAGCCUGAUACGAGGCGGACUGAUUAUAUGGAGUAGACGCGUACACGCCCUGACCUAGAUCCCAAACGGUCCUAGGCAAUAGGCGUCCUCAUACCCCGCCUCGCCGACCUGAGUUUACCUGCCACCAUCAACGCCCCUUUCGCCCAGUUCUCUCGGAAAUUAAGCACGAAGAAUUCGUCAAAUUGCCCCGAAAGAUCAAAACUUACCCCCAAAAAGGAACAAAACAAAUAUUUGUGCAUUCCCCGGGACCACGACACAAUAAUUGAGGACUGUUUUCAACUAAAAGGCAGAUUGUCGACCCAUUUAAAGGAGUGUACCCUAAAAUAUGUUCGCUACUCGCCCCCGCCCAACUCCCCAGAAAGAAGGUACGGAGACACAGAACCAACUGCGGGCGCUAUACAAAAUAAUCCACGAGGUUUCGUACUCGCGUAUAUUCAACUUCAAUCCAGGAAAGGCAAUGCAGAAGUGCCCCCUAGACCGGGCCGACGAAGAAGUCUAACAACCUCUCUCUCCUCGCCAUUCGUGCUGACGCAAACACCCAUCCCUUCAGCAUGAUGAUUUGAGAGGCAGCACUUACCCCACGGCAAUGCCCGGUGGUCUCGGCCGCAUCGCCAAUUUCAACGUCCAUAGGAUCGUUGAUCGCAACGGGAUCUCGGCUGAUAUCUGUUCAUCUGCAUCUCAGCGUUGAAAAUGAAAGUUGGGCCGACAAGUUGCAAAUCCUUUCCAUACCCUACCCCUAACCCCCCUAUCUGAUUUGGAGAAUACGCGCACCCCUUGGGAUGGUCCCUUACCAAUAACCCUGGGAACCGAACCCACCAGACCACCGUGUGGCAGAUUUAUCGUGGUAGAUUGCCCCUCGCCGUAUACCCAAUCCUGGGCGACUACGCUGGGAGGAAUCAAGGCGAUCACUUCUACCUACCCCACUUAAUAUGAAAUCCCCACCUUGACUGGGAUAGGCGAGUUAAAGGGCCGAUCAGAAGGUGGCUAGGCAAUGCUGUAUCCCCAGCCCAUGAAGGUUGAAAAUUCCGGUUCAGUUCCGCCCAAUAGCAAUCACAAGACGCGUGCGAUGACACGGGGAUAAUUAGAGAUGAGAUAAAAACAACUUAUCCUAAAGACCCAGAAAACUGAAAUAGACGCAAACCUCGUGAAGCCGUCGUAGUCCCAAUCCUCCAUUCAACCCAAAUUACCCAGAUCCCCGUUUCAAGUCAUGAUCGAAUGAGCUCACGCAUGAAUUGCGUAUCGCCUAAUAGAUUUCUGAAAAGAAUUCGACGUGUUCGCCCCUUGUCACAAAGGCUACGUUCCUGGCAUCGGCCCAAAGUCGCCAUGCCAUAGCUGUUCACAAGCCUGAUACUCCCAGCCGCCAGAACGGAGGAAUUUCGCCCUGGCGCCUGUAAGUCUUGAAGACGAAUAAGCAAACUCAUCAAGGCUAAUGUUUGUUCGUAAGCCCACUUAUCCGGAUUGGGCUCGCUCAUGUCGUAAGUCGCCCCCAAAAAAGAGGGGGGGAAGUGUAGGGUGGUGCGUAGACUUCAGCCACCUCACAUGCUUGCCCGAAAGAUAGUUUUCCUUUGCCUAAAAUCGAUCUGAUAGUCGACGCCAUCCACCGACCGGUCCAAGCAUGAGCUAGUGAGCUUUUAUGGAUGCCUUUCGGGUUAAUCAUCAUCAUCAAAAUGUAUCCUCCUAACGUUUGAGAAAACUUCUUGUUCACGGACGGGGGCUAUAUUGGUACAAAAGUCAUGCCGUUUGGGUUAAAGACGCCGGGGCAACGUAUCAUGACUUGUCAACAAGAUGUUUCAAUGCCAAAAAUUUGGAAGACUAUGGAGUUUACUGAUGAUAUCUGGUUAAGAGUCUCCAAGAGACACAACCACAUCGCCCCCCUUGAAUAAGCAUUCGACAUACUUGCGGCGACUGCGGGCGGCAUCACAGAAGAUGUUAAAUCCCUCUAAAUGGCAUCUUGGAGUGUCUUCCUUUCCUCUGGAAGUUCCUGGGAUCCUGUCACCAAUCGAGGAUUGAGGUGAACCCUACCAAAUCCAAGCCUAAUCGCAAUGAGAUCUGCCAAGGAAUACCCCGAGCAGUACAGCAACUGAACCCGGUGCGAUUACAGCCUCCCUGAACAGAUUUGUCUCCAAAUCUGCGGACAAGUGCCUCCCUUUCUUCAAUUCCCUGAGAAAAGAGCCAGACCUUUCACUGGAGUGAGGAAUCUGAAAAUUCGUUCCUCCGACAGCUAAUGGUACUCGUGUCCCCUGCCUUUACUCUCGGUCCCCCACCGCGCCGCGAAGAUCCUACAUGUUAAUUUCAUCUGCGCCUCGUCCACCGUGAAAGUACAGUCCUAGUCCGAGAAAAGGUAAAAUCUACCAAAAACCAAUAUAUUUACGUUAGCAAAAACUUUAAUUGGUGGCAGAGUCCAGAUAUCCGAGGAAUGAAAAGAUCGCAUAUGUCUCUAAUGAUCGCCGUCCAGAAAACUUCGUCUUACUCUUCCAGGCCCAUUCUAUCAUCGUGUUGACAGAUCACUCACUAAAGCAUUCCUCCACGACCGGUCCACGUCGGGUAUACUCUGAAAUGGUCCAUCGAGCUAUAGUGAGUUCCACAUUGAGUACAAGCCAAGAACACAGCAAGAAAGCCCACUCCCUGGCUGAUUUUAUGUCGAAUCCACCCUGAAGAAACUCCACAAACCAGAGACUCUCUUGAAGGGGGAAUUCCUAACGAACUGCAACCUCAGAAAAAGACAUCGCCCCCAUGGAUAUUGUUCGUUGAUGUCUCUUCUAACCAUCAACGGCUGUGGUGGCAUGGCUCGUCAUACGAGCUCCAUCAUCAAGCGAACAAGAUGGAGUAUUCCAUCAGCAUUGGGGUUUAAAGGAUUAAAACCACCACCAAUGAAGCCGAUACGAAGCCCUCCUCCCGCCGGACUAAGAGUACAUAGAGUUAGGAGCACAAUCUCACUUUGGAAUUCUUCAAUGUGACUCACAAUUGGUGGUAAAGCCACAAGUCCAAAGGAACUACCUCGCCAGGACACAAAUGAUAGCUUAUGUAGGCGAGUAAAGGCUGUGUCCCGACAAGAUCAAGGAGUUAAGAUCCACUCCAUUCCCCUAGAAGAUAAUAAAUGCAGAUGCCUUGGUUAAUCUUGCGUCAACUUUUGAGUUUAUUCUUCUAACAGGGUGCCUACCCUAGAAUUUUUUAAGCCAGCCCAAGCAUUGGAAUCGCCAGCAUGUCCUCUCCAAGCGGAAGAAAGUCGAGACGUGAUGUACAAUUAUUGCCUAUUCUCUAGAUGGUAUCUGCCAAAGAACAACUCCAAUGCUCGCGCCGUCCCAGUACAGAUCUGCAAGAUUUGCAUAUUCAACGGUAAAUUAUACAAAGGUCUUUCUCGGAACCCCUCUUGAAUGGUCUUCCGACCAAAGAAGCAUAGUAACGGUCCUAACAGAAAUACAUGAAGGCAUCUGCGGGAACCACUCCGGAGCAAGGUCGUUACAGCAAGGAAGACAAUUCGGCAGGAAUAUUUUGGCCGACCAUGGAACGAGAUGCGGCUCUGUGGCGUAUGUAAAAGAGAUGCGACAAAUGUCAGAGAUUUUCUCCGUCAGCCAUCUCCCCCCCCACAACUGAGAUGGUACCGAUGUCAAUCAGCCCUGGCCAUGUGCGUCGCCCAUGGGGAAUAGACAUACUGUUCUCCUACCGCGAACUCCCUUGCAAGAAAAUUUUUGAUCGUCGCCAUAGACUAUUUUAUUACCAAAUGGCAUAGAAGCUCAACCUCUCGCCAAAAUUACUGAGAAAAACCCUCGAUUUUAUAUGGAAACAUCUUGUAAAAUGUAUAUAACAGGAAUCCCUAAGGUUAUCAUCUCGGACAAACGCAAGGCAAGUUCACAACGACAAGUUCAGGUUCAUUCUGCUCGGAUCUCGCCAUCUCCCAUCAUUUCUCUUCGCCUUUGUCUCCUGCAGGCUAAAUGGACAUUGAAGUAACUAUCAUACCAUCCCUCAUGAAUUUGAAGGCGGGUUUUAGAAAGAUCAACCAAAAAAGCGAAUGGGCGGAAAACUUACCAGCAUAAUACUCUGGGCUUAUCAUACUACUAGGUCUUCGGAUUCCUAUAGGUGAAACUCCAUACUCCAUGGUCUUCGUACUGAAUCAGUCAAUACCAGUGGAAAUAGGUAUGCCAAGCUCAAACGUUAAACUUCGACAAAAAUGGCAACGAGUGGAGCUCAAGCUCACCUUGAUCUCCUCGAUGAAAACGGAGGAGCCGAAUUAAAGACUCCAAGCGGCUUACAAAAGUCGGAUCACCAAUACUAUAACUAAGAUUAAAGCAACCGCUCCUUCCUCCCUGGCGACCUGGUCUUGCCAAGGGUAACCUAUCCACAAGAUCCGAGCGCAGGGAAACUCGGUCGCAACAUGGGAAGGCCUUACGAGUUAUCAAGUUUCCAGGCCCAGGGACUUGUUGGGCUGGAGAUCAACCGGAAGCACUUCACAUCCCUGGAAUGCCCAAGCAUUGAAGAAUAUUACCAGUAGAAUGGGUGAGCCAAUGAUUCUGUGAUUUGCAAUUGUAUAUUAUAAUUGACAUUUUGUAUGAUUCGCCUAUGGGUUUCACCUCGCCAGUUAUGAAAAAGACUAAUGUCGCCAAAAUUAAGAUCGUCGUUUCAUUAAAAAGAUAAAGGCGUCUUGAUCAUCGUUAUUUAUGUUGCCAAAUCAGGAUACGCUCAUUCGGUGUCUAACGAUAAGACGCCUUGAUCGCCAAAACCAAUGUCGCCAAAAUCGAUAUUCGCCACUUCUUUCCGUAACAAUGGUAAUUUGAUCGCCAACUCGACGUAAUCUCCUCACAAGGGCCGUUCGCCCUAGACGGAUAAUAGAAAUCUGCUUCACUUUUACAAAAAUAAACGAACUCUAUAACCUCGCCAAACAAACGUCAGUAGAUUAUUUCAUUCAUAACUAAAGAACUGAUUUAAUUUGUUUGAGCCUCGCCUAGCGCUGGCCAAAAAACAAAAAAUUUUACAUCGGGAGCAACACCUGCAACAGGAUCUUCUUUCUCCUUCUUUCAAAUCGCCUCUUCUUCUCAGGUCAAAACUUGGGUCUAUCGCCAUAUUCGCCACGUCAACACCGAGGUUAGGGGAAUUGAUGUAGAUCUGCCUCUUGCAGAGACUCAAUCCCUCACUGAAGUUGUUGCAGCAGAAUCUUAACCGCCGCCCUUGAUUUCCCCCGAAGGCUUUGAAGCCUCAUGGCUAUCUCCUUGUCUUCGCCAAUUUAUUUGUGAUUCCGCCACGGUGGCCCUCAGAUCCUCCACCUCGGUGGCCAGGCUUUGAUCCACGCUUCCUCGCUAAUGCUCGGCCAACCGAUUUUCCGCCUUAACAACAAUACAACUCGGCUUUUUUUGAGCUUUUAAACCAAUUCAAAGCUCGGCUGAUCUACGCGAGCCAUAUGGAAGUCUAUGUCAUGGAGAUGCUCCCUGGCUACGGAUGGCGCGAGAAGAGGCGACACGCCACUGCCAAAAUACAUCUCGUAUUUGUCAAAAGAACAACGGCCACGUUUUUUCACAAAUACCUGACCCAAGGCAUGGAAGAUGUGCGACCAAUUCAUUCUCGUAUAAUCCAUCAACCCCUUUCCUUGUCGGAAGCCGGAAUCACCCAGUGAGCAACCUCUGAGCCACAAGCAUCCGACUCAUAGAUUCGAUCCUAUAUCCCACCAGGGGAAGAGGUCCCCGCAUCGGCAAGGCCACGCCCCCUGGCAUUGAUCGCCCUUGAUCGCCCCUCGGUUUGAUUUGAAUCUUUUAGGCGGCGGGGGCGGCGCGUCUUCCUUUCCCUUCGAAGAUGUCCGGCUCGCCUAGUUCGAUUUACGUGGUCUCCUUUCCGCGUACGUUUUUCCCAAAUAAUGACUAUUGACUCCUUUGGUGGGAGGGCUUGGCCUGUCAUCGCCUUCACAACCUCUUCUCACGGAUCUUCGUCCUUGGCCUUGCCUCCUUUUUUUUCACCCCAAAGCGGGGUCAAAACCACUCGAGCCGCUAUAGCUGCACAUGGAUAUGUUCAGAUAAGGAAGAAAACAGUAACAAUUAGGUUUCUAGAUAUACCAUCGAUCUGAGCUCGAGGGCAGCUCAGAAUCCGAAAUGGAAUCUGACCCUGAAUCCGAAUUUGGAGCCGGACGUCCCCGAUAGGAGUUCGUAAACGGGUCCUUUAAAACCUUCCCCCGAGCACCUUAGAAGGGUUUCAAUCGGGAUACCAAGGUCAUGCUCUCCUAAUCGCCCCCUGCCGAUACCGCCGUCUAAUGACUCCCAUGUUUAAUUUCAACCGAAUCUUCGCGAGUACCCGAACUCACCCACCCUCAUCACCCACCCGAGGUCGUGUUGUCUCCGCCACGGUAGAAAGCGCCGUGCAACCACCGCAAAUGUUUCUUGAAGGUUCGUGAACCCAGAACCUUCGAAACCUUGAAUUAGCCUCCGGGCUCUAUCUUCCGAAGAUCGUCUCCGUCCUCUUGGCGUCAACCUCGACGUCGGGCAACUUGUUGCAAGCUUUUUCCUGAAAAUCGCAUGUCAGGCACAUAAUGGCUCACAAACAAAAAACAAUAGGAACUAAACCUGGCGUUCCCCAGAUCUGGGGACUCGUGGAGUACUUCGCUGGCGGUCGUGCCCGAGGGGAACUCCCAUCAUCCCCCGAGGCAAAAAGAACCUCAUCUUCCCACCCCUUUAUGUUGUCUCUUCGUAGAUCCCUCUAAGCCAUUUCUUUCUCAGGCCUCGCCUUGAAGUAGUCCCACCACCCCGAAUCGGUAAGGACUGAGGGAGUUAAGCAACCUGAAUUCGGACAGGACAUGUACGUUUGAAGUUGACGCCAGAUCACCUCUAACAGAUGACUGAUCGCCAUGCGUUUGGAGAUAACUGUGCAGGGCAAAUCUUGUAAAUCAAAUUUCUCUAAUUGUCGAUGAUGUAAACCUUAAGCCGGCCAAAAAGCGUCUUCGUAAAACGCUAUCUCCUUGGCGGGCUGAUAAAAUUGUUUUCGUUCGCCAUUCCCAGGAAUCCGAAUAAUCCACCCUUGGGAAUGAAUCUCGUAGAAUCCGAGAUUGUCCAUUUAGCCUGGGACUGACGUUACCCUCCUUCAUUGAGACUCGAGAUAUCCAUCUUUGGGGAAUUUGUUUAUAUUGGUGAAACGGGGAACGGCGCGUUUCGUCGAUAUAAGACUUCCACCCCGAUCUGAUCGGAUAUCCAAGAAGGCAAGGAUUUUGCUUAGAUUCUUCGGCUUCGGCUCCGAGUUGACUUAGAUAGAACUAACAGACAGUCGACCUGUAUACGCGAGAUCAGUUCCAAAACGGAGUAGCAUUCGAUAGCAACGGAUUGUGGCGAAUGAAUAGGUUAACCCCAUUUAUAUACCCACGGGGAGGGCUGUUGAUCGUCAGGCCCAACGCCCAGAGUCAACGCGAACGUUUUGAUUUCCGAGAUGUAAAAACCGCCUUUCCCGCCUAGAACCAUUUUCCCGCCGACUCAACCUAAUCUGCAUGUAAGUUCCCCGUGCCACUGUGCUCCUUGAGUGAGUCCGUUGUGAUUGACGCUCCACUUGGCCAACACAUCAUUGCACAAACACGUCAAGCAUUGGUCUGCUAACAGGCUUUAUUCUUCUGUGAUUAUAAACCAUCUAUGAUUGGAGCCUACGGUCGCCUACGGGGCAUAAAUUGUACAUAUCUACAUCUUACUUCGAUAAAUCUGAAUUAUACCCUUAUUGUGCACUAAAGCUACUUGCUCGCCCAAAAGUUUUUGCUAGUUUGAACUACAUAGUCAAACCAUGCCUGCCCAAUCUUAUAUCGGCUAGGGGUAAGAGUCUAGAUCGCCAGUUCGUUCAAAGACUUUAGGACUCUUGAUCACCGUUAUAGAUGCGCCCUGCCCCGCCAUUAAUGAGAACGCCCACUCAUUACACAAGGAUCUUCAUCGCCAAGUCGACGAUUUCGCCAUCAUAUCUCUUCGCCCAGAGCUUCUAUCAUCUUUAGGUUUGGAAAUUUUGGACGCGCCGUUUUUCCACCAUGAUACUGCAAUAAGCUGAACGCAUCAUGCCGAAGUAAUCAGUCAAAAGAAAAAACGACAGAGUUUUGAGCGAAUCAGCUUUUUUUAUCCCUGAAGAUCACGGAUACAAUAAAAUCAAAACAAAAAUCAAAAGUGGGAAUCCUUAGACAACAGCUUCGCCACCCCCUUCUAACCCCGUUUGGCGCUUCUUCGGCCGCUCUUUCUCGCUUCAUCCCUCCUCUUUGGCGAGGAAUUCCAUGUCCAUCUCGACUUCCUCCAAAUCGACACCGAGGCAGGAUACGUUGCGCGGCUGCCCUCUUGCAGAAGUCACAAAGCCAUCGCCGCAAUAAUAGGUGCCGAUCCCCUCACAGCUUCUAAAAAGUCAUCCAUACCUACUCUUAAAACGCGGCGAUGACCUACCUUGCUGAGAGACUAGCUUUUUUCCAGCUCUCGUUAUCCUUGCUCUAGCCUCGCGAUGACCGGUGGUGGGUCUCUAGCAUCGCAUCCUCGGCGAGCUCUUCCCCUUCGCCUCUUUCUCCUCAGCAAGGCACCCUCUAAUUCAAUGGCCCGAUUUUGCGCUCAACCCAACCAUUUCCAUUUCGGCAGAUGCAGCGACAGCCUUUUGAUUGGACGCACAUCGGCGAAUCCCUUCUGCGAACCGGCGAAGAAGAACCCUAAGAUACCCCCUACUACAAACAGAAUCGAAUUACCGCACUAAAAUAUGAGAAUUAACAACCCUUUAGGGAAAAAACAAAUACCUGGCCGAGCCCUGGAAAACUGGUCACCCCUGAUCGAAGGUGAUCCAUCCACCUUCUCCUGUCCCCGGGAGUAAUCACCCCGCCAGAAAUUUUUUCUUCUUUCUGCUGUGGUCCAUACUGGCCAUCACUGAAGCCUGUGGGCACUAGGCUUCGCCAAGAGUUUGUCUGACGCGAACUAAACCCUCUACUUGAGCAAUGGUCGCCUCACGGGAGCUUUAGAGGACGUUACAGUAUCAAAUUUUAGCCUUCUUUCUUUCACUCCGGCAAUUGGGCGACCUGCUUUCCCGCUUUCCCUUGGACCC
rnacentral:lncRNA from 1 species